rnacentral:rRNA from 1 species
AGUGAACGCUGGCGGUAUGCCUAACACAUGCAAGUCGAACGGCAGCACAGUAAGUUCUUGCUCUUACGGGUGGCGGGUGGCGGACGUGUGAGGAAUGCAUCGUAAUCUACUUUUUCGUGGGGGAUAACGUAGGUGAACUUACUCUAAUACCGCAUACGCCCUACGGUUGAAAGCAUUGGAUCUUCUGACCUUGCGGGAUUGAAUGAGCCGAGGUCGGAUUAGCUAGUUGGCGGGGUAAAGGCCCACCAAGGCGACGAUCCGUAGCUGGUCUGAGAGGAUGGUCAGCCACACUGGAACUGAGACACGGUCCAGACGACUACGGGAGGGAGCAGUGGGGAAUAUUGGACAACGGGCGCAAGCCUGAUACAGCCAUACCGAGUGGGUGAAGAAGGCCUUCGGGUUGUAAAGACCUUUUGUUGGGAAAGAAAAGCAGCAGGUUAAUACCAAGCUGUUCUGACGGUAACCAAAGAAUAAGCACCGGCUAACUUCGUG